rnacentral:piRNA from 1 species
UAAUCAAGAAAGGGAAAUCAAGGUUUAGG